ACUUUUAUUGAGGAGAAGCCAGCAAAGGAGAGAAGCAGUACAGGGAAGUAAAGAAGCAGGCAAAGUGUGCUUUCUAGAGAAGUCUCACCUUGGCCUGAUUCCGUGGGAGCUCCGGGUGGUGAACUGAUCGCUUCCAGAAGAACAAUGUUGGCUCUUAUAUCCCUGAGCCAGGGGGUCAUUGGCUAGGGGCCACCCCCAGUAGGGUAGGAUGCAGAGAGCACAACAAGCAUCACCAGCAAGGCAGCUCCUGUCAGCCACGGGCAUGCCUCUUGGGAAGGGUGCAGGUGGGAGCUCUUAGCAGCCCACACCUGGUGCAGGUGGGCUGGGUGUGGGUGCCUGUGAAAGGGACCUGCGUGGAGGAGGACCGGCAUCUGGUACAGCACUUUAUGGAUGUCAUCUAUUCUGAACACCGUUUGAGGCAGCGUACUAUUAUUUCUAUCUCUGUUUCACGAAAGAGGAGUCUGAGCUCACACGGAACCGUGAUUUAAACCAAGGCGGUGUGACUCUACCAUCUGUGCCCUCCGUACGAACCCACCCUUCACAUGGGAAGAUCUGUGGCAUGUAUACGGGCAAAUUCUUUCCCUUACUUACGCACCGAGCCACCUGGGACAGCAGUCACAUCCACUCAGGCAAAUGACUACGAUGCUUCACAAGAGAGAGCAGAAGAGACCAAGAAGCUCACGGAAACGCCAAGAGAACCACGCCAGCGCGCACACUGGGAUGAACCUGCAGAAAGCAGACGAGUUCAGAGACCAGGAGCCCCGUGCUCUUCUCAGCGGCUGGGAAAGGAAGAGACUGAAGUGAAUUUUGGGAAAUACGAUCAACUUGAAGGUAUUUUUCACUUUUGUUUGUCAUUUUCUGUUUAAGAAAGGGAUUUACAAAUAGAUGUGUUAACUUUUAGCGUAUUUCCAAAAUUUUUUCACAAUGAUCUUUUAUUUUUCUUCCUAUUAUAAUUGAAGUCAAUUAACGUAAACUGUGUCAAGUAGAAUUAACAUUUAUAUUUUCAAUUCUGUGAGAAGGAAAUGCAAUCUGCCAUGAAAGGUUUCGGGGAGAGGGUUUCAAACAUUCAAUGUAGAACAUUCAAGUUUUAAAAGCACGUGUUGUCUUUUGAAUAAUGACUAACAUCCACUGAAAGCUUACUACGUGCCAGGCCCUCUAACAAGUAUUAUAUCCCUUAAUCUUCACUAUAACUCCAUUAGGUAGAUACUGUUUUUAGUCUUUAUAGACAUACGCAGAUUUUACAAAUCAGGAAACUGAGGCACAGGGAGGUUAAGAAAUCUGCUACCGUCAGAGCCAGGCUUUGAAACAAGGCUAUCUGCUACCAAAAGUGCUACGAUGAACUCAUAUGCCUGUGGUACUUAGGGAGAUAAACCCUCCAGUCUCUCUUCGAGGAAGGACAUGCUGCCCAGCUGGAGGAGGAUGGUCCAGCCUCCAGCUCUCCGGGGCUCCAGGGGCUGCCUCAGUUGCACAAGCCACCCCUCCUGAGGUCACAUCCUUCCUGUGGAGGUAAAAAACCCAGACAUGUUGACCAAGGCUGGGCAACUUCGAUGGGCACUACUUGCCCCAAACUGACCAAAACUUUGUCAGCUCUGAGUCACAGAAUGCCUUUUUCUUCUUUCCAGUCCUGCUUCCUCCCAUUUCCUUUCACAGGUUUGAUGCCUAAUAAACAUCUUGCAAACACCA
rnacentral:lncRNA from 1 species